UACGUAGGGUGCGAGCGUUGUCCGGAAUUAUUGGGCGUAAAGGGCUCGUAGGCGGCUUGUCGCGUCGGAUGUGAAAGCCCGGGGCUUAACUCCGGGUCUGCAUUCGAUACGGGCAGGCUAGAGUUCGGUAGGGGAGAUCGGAAUUCCUGGUGUAGCGGUGAAAUGCGCAGAUAUCAGGAGGAACACCGGUGGCGAAGGCGGAUCUCUGGGCCGAUACUGACGCUGAGGAGCGAAAGCUAGGGGAGCGAACGGG
rnacentral:rRNA from 1 species